rnacentral:rRNA from 1 species
AGUGAACGCUGGCGGCAGGCCUAACACAUGCCAGUCGAGCGGCAGCGCGGGGGCAACCCUGGCGGCGAGCGGCGGACGGGUGAGGAAUUCGUCGGAAUCUGCCUUUUUGUGGGGGAUAACGAAGGGAAACUUACGCUAAUACCGCAUACGUCCUACGGGAGAAAGUGGGGGACCGCAAGGCCUCACGCAGAAAGAUGAGCCGACGACCGAUUAGCUAGUUGGUGGGGUAAAGGCCCACCAAGGCGACGAUCGGUAGCUGGUCUGAGAGGAUGAUCAGCCACACUGGGACUGAGACACGGCCCAGACUCCGACAGGAGGCCACAGUGGGGAAUAUUGGACGAGGGGCGCAAGGCUGAUCCAGCCAUGCCGGGUAUGUGAAGAAGGCCUUAGGGUUGGAAAGCACUUAUGUCCGGAAAGAAGUCCCAGGAGCUAAUACCUUCGGGGGAUGACGGUACCGGAAGAAUAAGCACCGGCUAACUUCGUG